rnacentral:rRNA from 1 species
CCUACGGGUGGCUGCAGUGAGGAAUAUUGGUCAAUGGACGAGAUUCUGAACCAGCCAUGUCGCGUGAAGGAUGACUGCCCUAUGGGUUGUAAACUUCUUUUAUAUGGGAAUAAAAUGUUCCACGUGUGGGGUUUUGUAUGUACCGUAUGAAUAAGGAUCGGCUAACUCCGUGCCAGCAGCCGCGGUAAUACGGAGGAUCCGAGCGUUAUCCGGAUUUAUUGGGUUUAAAGGGCGCGUAGGUGGAUUGUUAAGUCAGUGGUGAAAGUUUGCGGCUCAACCGUCAGAUUGCAGUUGACACUGGCAGUCUAGAGUACAGUAGAGGUAGGCGGAAUUAGUGGUGUAGCGGUGAAAUGCUUAGAUAUCACGAAGAACUCCGAUUGCGAAGGCAGCUCACUGGACUGCAACUGACACUGAGGCUCGAAAGUGUGGGUAUCAAACAGGAUUAGAUACCCCAGUAGUC